GCACAGGACGGGGGAUGGACAUCUAUAUUGGCGGGGUACGUGACCGGAACGCUGCUCUGCACGGAGAUGUGGUCGUGGUGGAAAUUAAACCAUUGACCAGUGGAAGGUGCUUUAUGAUCAAUUAGACCAAUAUUUAGACGACCAUAUGGAUAAAAAAUUAUUGUAUAUAGUCCGCUGGAGUCCAAUAUAACUGCUUCAUUUGCUGACGCUGCUUCCUCCUAUAACCCCUUAUCUAACAACACUAAUAAACAACAAAUACUAAGAAGAAAGAGAAAACUAGAAAUGAUUCUGAUAGUGUAUAUGUUGUAGAAAGUUUAGGAAGUAUUAUUCAGUGUGACAGUGAUGUGGUUGUGGAAGAUGAGGAUUUAAGAUGAGAGAGAACAAGAAAGGAAUGCUGGUAAUAGAAGAAAAAAGGAAGAGGAAAGGAAAGCCAAGUAAAACACAGGAUGCCAGUCAUCCAAAUAAAGUCUGUACAGCUUCUCAAGGUGGCACUCAAGAGAAACCAGAUGAGGAGAGCUGUAAAGAUGACACCCAGGAAUUGUGAUUGUGCUGCAGACUGAACCAGUCAAGGUUGCUGAUGAGCUUGUCCUCCUGUCAUGCCCAACACUUGAGGAGGGUAAGCAGGUUCCUCAGGAAGAUGACUUUGAUAGUUUCAAGGAAGGAGUGAAGGGUGUUGUAGUACCCCCCUGACCAACUGAGUGAAUGUGAUUUCACAGACGAUGAGAGUGGAUGCAGUGAAAUCCUGGAUUACAGCCAGAUGAGGGAGGAUCAGAGCUUCAUGCAAGCACAAUGGGAAGCCUAUCAAGAAGGAAUUUCAUCAGAAGCAAAAGGAAGAAUCGCAAGAAUAUCACAAGAAAUCUGAGGCAGAAAAAGAAAAGGAUGCUGGUGUACUGGUGAAGAAAUGUUUUGAAACAUCAGAUAUAAAGCAAGAGAUAGCUCUUGGCUUUCCUGAAGGAUUUGUGAAAGAGGAGAAUAUAGAUAGUAAGAAUCUGGAUUGCAAGAUAGAAACGGUUAUAGGGAAGAAAGUGUCGAGUGCCAAUGAUGUAAAUACUGUAAAAAAGGAGGAAAAAUGUAUGACUACUUUUGAAAAGGAUGAAGCAAAAGAAAACACAGAAACCACUCAGGGUGCUUGUGGA